rnacentral:lncRNA from 1 species
AUAUGGUAUGAAAUCAAUCUUGAAAUUUAUGUAUUAGAGUGGCACAAUUUAUUCAGAUAUAUAUUAUUUGUUUAAUAUAUGAAUAAAGCGUGUUUUGGUUUGUCUUAAUUCAUGGCUAGAUUCUCUAUUGUAUUUUUCUUUUGGAUCUGUAACAAGAGGGGUGGUUUAUUGUCACCAUGUUUCCCUCUUGAUUUAGUUUACUGUUAUAGAAAAUUUGAAAGCCAAAAAUUGGUGUAGGAAAUUUGUAAAUCGUUGGGGCAUAAUCACAAAUGUCAGAUCAGAGGAAACAAAGGCCGGAAAUUUCAACAGCGGCAACCAACCAGCGCACGUUGCAGGAGGAAACAAAGGCUGGAAAUUUCAACAACGGCAACCAACCAGCGCACGUUGCACACGCUGCAGCAGAGUUCACAGCUAGUGUGGCAAGCUGCGCUAUACACGCAGCAAGCAGCGCGCGCUGCGCUACACGUGCAGCAAGCUGCGUGGCCGGGUUUGGUUAGUUUCUGGAGUAACGGCGACGACAAACUCGUUGUUGAUGGCAGCUGUCCAAUGACGUGGUGACGGUCGGCUAGCGUCUGAACAGUGGCGGAGGUUUUUGGAGAUGGCGGUUAGGGAAGAAGGAAAAGAAAAAUAUGGAUUUUAGGGUUUCAUAGUUUUUAUCAUUGAGGUCCCUAUAGUUUCAUAAUUGUUUCCUUUGGGCAGUCAAGUUUUAAUUUUUUGCAUUUAAGUCUAAAAACAGUUUUGGGCUUAAAGAAUCCUAGUUUUAGGCCCAAUUGAAAUUUGUGCUUAAUGGAUUAAGAUGCAAAGAUCAAAUUAAA